rnacentral:rRNA from 1 species
AUUGAACGCUGGCGGCAGGCCUAACACAUGCGAGUCGAGCGGAUGAAGGGAGCUUGCUCCUGGAUUCAGCGGCGGACGGGUGAGUAAUGCCUAGGAAUCUGCCUGGUAGUGGGGGAUAACGUCCGGAAACGGGCGCUAAUACCGCAUACGUCCUGAGGGAGAAAGUGGGGGAUCUUCGGACCUCACGCUAUCAGAUGAGCCUAGGUCGGAUUAGCUAGUUGGUGGGGUAAAGGCCUACCAAGGCGACGAUCCGUAACUGGUCUGAGAGGAUGAUCAGUCACACUGGAACUGAGACCCGGUCCAGACUCCUACGGGAGGCAGCAGUGGGGAAUAUUGGACAAUGGGCGAAAGCCUGAUCCAGCCAUGCCGCGUGUGUGAAGAAGGUCUUCGGAUUGUAAAGCACUUUAAGUUGGGAGGAAGGGCAGUAAGUUAAUACCUUGCUGUUUUGACGUUACCAACAGAAUAAGCACCGGCUAACUUCGUG